AACGAACGCUGGCGGCAGGCCUAACACGUGCAAGUCGAGCGAAGCCUUCGGGCUUAGCGGCGGACGGGUGAGUAACGCGUGGGGACGUGCCCUUUGGUACGGAAUAGCCCCGGGAAACUGGGAGUAAUACCGUAUGUGCCCUUCGGGGGAAAGAUUUAUCGCCAAAGGAUCGGCCCGCGUUGGAUUAGGUAGUUGGUGGGGUAAUGGCCUACCAAGCCGACGAUCCAUAGCUGGUUUGAGAGGAUGAUCAGCCACACUGGGACUGAGACACGGCCCAGACUCCUACGGGAGGCAGCAGUGGGGAAUCUUAGACAAUGGGGGAAACCCUGAUCUAGCCAUGCGGCGUGAUCGAUGAAGGCCUUAGGGUUGUAAAGAUCUUUCAGUGGGGAAGAUAAUGACUGUACCCACAGAAGAAGCCCCGGCUAACUCCGUGCCAGCCGCCGCGGUAAGAC
rnacentral:rRNA from 1 species